rnacentral:rRNA from 1 species
AGAGUUUGAUCCUGGCUCAGAGCGAACGCUGGCGGCAGGCCUAACACAUGCAAGUCGAACGGACCCUUCGGGGUUAGUGGCGGACGGGUGAGUAACACGUGGGAACGUGCCUUUAGGUUCGGAAUAGCUCCUGGAAACGGGUGGUAAUGCCGAAUGUGCCCUUCGGGGGAAAGAUUUAUCGCCUUUAGAGCGGCCCGCGUCUGAUUAGCUUGUUGGUGAGGUAAUGGCUCACCAAGGCUACGAUCAGUAGCUGGUCUGAGAGGAUGACCAGCCACAUUGGGACUGAGACACGGCCCAAACUCCUACGGGAGGCAGCAGUGGGGAAUCUUGCGCAAUGGGCGAAAGCCUGACGCAGCCAUGCCGCGUGGAUGAUGAAGGUCUUAGGAUUGUAAAAUCCUUUCACCGGUGAAGAUAAUGACUUAGCCGAGAGAG